UACGUAGGGUGCAAGCGUUGUCCGGAAUUAUUGGGCGUAAAGAGCUCGUAGGCGGUUUGUCGCGUCGACUGUGAAAACCCGGGGCUCAACUCCGGGCCUGCAUUCGAUACGGGCAGACUAGAGUUCGGUAGGGGAGUCUGGAAUUCCUGGUGUAGCGGUGAAAUGCGCAGAUAUCAGGAGGAACACCGGUGGCGAAGGCGGGACUCUGGGCCGAUACUGACGCUGAGGAGCGAAAGCGUGGGGAGCAAACAGG
rnacentral:rRNA from 1 species